CGCCCUUUUCCGGUUGAUCCUGCCGGACCCGACUGCUAUCGGAUUGAGAUUUAGCCAUGCGAGUCGAACGCCCUCCGAGUGCGGGGGGCGUGGCGUACGGCUCAGCAACACGUAGUCAACCUGCCCUAGAGAUGCCGACAACCCCGGGAAACUGGGUCUAAUCGGCGAUAGGUCACCUCAUCUGGAAGGAGAGAUGGCCGAAAGGGGUUUUGCGAGCUUCUUUCGCAUAAUCCGCUCUAGGAUGGGACUGCGGCCGAUCAGGCUGUUGGCGGGGUAAAGGCCCACCAAACCUGUAACCGGUACGGGUCUUGAGAGAGAGGGCCCGGAGAUGGACACUGAGACAAGGGUCCAGGUCCUACGGGGCGCAGCAGGCGCGAAACCUUCGCAAUGCGCGAAAGCGUGACGAGGUUAGUCCGAGUGGCUUCCGCUGAGGAGGUCUUUUGUCGGCUGUAAAAAGGCCGGCGAAUAAGGGGAGGGCAAGUCUGGUGUCAGCCGCCGCGGUAAUACCAGCUCCUCGAGUGGUCGGGGCGAUUAUUGGGCCUAAAGCAUCCGUAGCUUGUUCCGUAGGUCUUCUGAUAAAUCCAACCGCUCAACGGUUGGCCCGCAGGAGAUACCGCGGGACUAGGAGGCGGGAGAGGUGGACGGUACUCCACGUGUAGGGGUAAAAUCCUUUGAUCCGUGGAAGACCACCAGUGGCGAAGGCGGUCCACCAGAACGCGCUCGACGGUGAGGGAUGAAAGCUGGGGGAGCGAACCGGAUUAGAUACCCGGGUAGUCCCAGCCGUAAACGAUGCGAGCUAGAUGAUCCGGUCGCAAAUCGCGAUCGGAGUGUCGCAGGGAAGCCGUUAAGCUCGCCGCCUGGGGAGUACGGUCGCAAGGCUGAAACUUAAAGGAAUUGGCGGGGGAGCACCACAAGGGGUGAAGCCUGCGGUUCGAUUGGAGUCAACGCCAGGAAACUUACCAGGAGAGACAGCAGGUUGAGGGUCAGGCUGAAGACCUUACCUGACGAGCUGAGAGGAGGUGCAUGGCCGUCGCCAGCUCGUGCCGUGAGGCGUCCUGUUAAGUCAGGCAACGAGCGAGACCAAGGGCGA
rnacentral:rRNA from 2 species